UACGUAGGGUGCAAGCGUUUAAUCGGAAUUACUGGGCGUAAAGCGUGCGCAGGCGGUUUUGUAAGUCUGUCGUGAAAGCCCCGGGCUCAACCUGGGAAUUGCGAUGGAGACUGCAAGGCUUGAAUCUGGCAGAGGGGGGUAGAAUUCCACGUGUAGCAGUGAAAUGCGUAGAUAUGUGGAGGAACACCGAUGGCGAAGGCAGCCCCCCUGGGUCAAGACUGACGCUCAUGCACGAAAGCGUGGGGAGCAAACAGG
rnacentral:rRNA from 1 species